AACACAUGUAGCCACCAUCUUAUACUCUGUGCCAAAGAAAACAUCCAUGUCAUAUACAAUAGCUGGUGUUCAAUCUUUUAAAAAGCCUGUCUAUCAAGGCUUAAACAAGUGUUAUUAAUAAUUUGUUGGCACUUAAAAACCUCCACAUUUUAACCAUCACUGAAUCAACAAUUACAUAACGCUGAUAUGAUGUUCAGUCAGUUUAUGAUAAAUGUUAGUGUUGUCCUUGACUCCCCCUUUUCAGUACUCACAUACUCCCACAUGUAGAAAGCUACAAUAACGCUACAAUCAGAUCUCAGUAACAAAAUAAUGUGUGAGGUGAGCUCAGUCUUUACCCUGACCUGUUGGACCAGCCUGGGCUGCAGAGCCAGUUAUGUACACAGAUACCCUGUGAUUAGGACCUGGGGAACUGGUUCCUAACAACAGACUGAGUGACAGCAUGAGGAGGACUAGCAACACCAACUCCACCUUUCCCACACUGACUAACUGGUGGUCCUGAACUCAACAAGAACAAGUUUCAUUUAUUUUGGUUUUGGGGUGGGGAUGCUAUCGCUUUUUUUCCAGGUUUUGCAACAUCCAGACCCUCAGCCAUCAAAACUGUCCAUUGAAACCAAUAGAAGCCAUACUUGUUUUUGUGUGUGAUUUACAUAGGGUGUUUGUUCUAUGUUCCACUUUUCAGUGUGUGUGAGAUUGAUAGUGAUAAAGGAAGGUGUGUGUGUAUCGCACCAGUCUCAGCAUGCUUUCUGUUGAUUCUGUGAAACUAUAAAGUACCCUGCCUUAACAGAUCUGUGAUUCCAUAGAAGUGAAACGAACUGUGAUGUUGUUACACCUCCCUCUCUGUAUAGCUUGUACCUCACGGUCUUCUUCGUCUUCUUUCUCACAGCAAAGACCUUGGAAGUCGACAGCUUUUAUCCCCUCUAUACCUGCCUCCUACACAACAAACCCUGAGACAUACUGCAGUGUGAGCUCAGCAGCCAUCGCUGUAGCUGUCAUCCACAAAGAAUGCAGUCUCAAAGUAGUGAUGUGGGUCAGAGCCCAGGGGAGGUUUAGCUGGUGGUAACUGAGCCCAGUCUGACGCAGCAGCCCGGGGGGGUGCUUUCAUCUUAAGACAGGGUGUGA
rnacentral:lncRNA from 1 species